GGGACUAAAUGUUUUGUCCCGGUUAGUAAUACCAACUAGAAUGAAAUGUUUUGUCCUGGUUGGAAUUACCAACUGGGAUGAAAGGGGAGCUUUUAUCCUGGUUGGAAUUUCCAACCGGAACAAAAGGGGCUGUCCACGCAGCCCCCCUCUCUUUCCACCUUAUUUAUUUUCUUCCAGGCAGCGCUCUCCUCCUCUCCACCUUAUCUUCUCCGACGCUUCCUCUUUCAAAGGCGCUUUCCCUUCUCCCUCUCC
rnacentral:lncRNA from 1 species